rnacentral:tRNA from 2 species
GCGGAUGUAGUUCAAUGGUAGAGCGCAACCUUCCCAAGGUUGAUGUUGCGGGUUCGAGUCCCGUUAUCCGCUCCA